rnacentral:rRNA from 1 species
GGAUCAUUAAAGAGUUUAAUAAAACUCCUAAACCCCUGUGAACUUACUGGUGUUUGGCUCGCCAGAUAUAGUCUGGUCCGUAAGCAAAUCGACUGCCUGCCUGUGUAACAGGCAGGUAAGCUUUUGUCGCGGGGUCCCGGAUCAACCCGGGCUAGAUAGCCACUUAACUAUAUACUUUUUAUAAAAUCUGUGAACUUACUAGGUUGGAUUCUCGCCAGAGAUAGUCUGGUUUCUGCUUCGCGGAUCGCCUACCCGUGACACCUGUCACAGGCAGGUAUGCUUCUGCCGCGGGUCCGUAAGUAAAUCAUCUGUUUCGCAAGGGACGGCGAUUUAUCUGUGGAAGAGGUCCGCUAACUAUAUUCUUAGUAUAGUUUGUUCACUAGAUCAAACAUUCUGAAUAAAAACUUAAACUAGUUAAAACUUUCAACAACGGAUCUCUUGGUUCUGGCAUCGAUGAAGAACGCAGCGAAAUGCGAUAAGUAAUGUGAAUUGCAGAAUUCAGUGAAUCAUCGAAUCUUUGAACGCACAUUGCGCCCAUUAGUAUUCUAGUGGGCAUGCCUGUUCGAGCGUCAUUUCAACCCUUAAGCCCCUGUUGCUUAGCGUUGGGAGCCUACAGCCUGCUGUAGCUCCUUAAAGGUAGUGGCGGAGUCGGUUCACACUCUAGACGUAGUAAAAUCUUUAUGUCGCCUAUGGAUGAGCCGGCGCCUUGCCGUAAAACCCCUAAUCUUUCACAAGGUUGACCUCGGAUCAGGUAGGAAUACCCGCUGAACUUAAGCAUAUCAAUAAGCGGAGGAAAAGAAACCAACAGGGAUUGCCCUAGUAACGGCGAGUGAAGCGGCAACAGCUCAAAUUUGAAAUCUGGCCUUCGGGUCCGAGUUGUAAUUUGCAGAGGAUGCUUUGGGCGCGGUGCCUUCCGAGUUCCCUGGAACGGGACGCCUUAGAGGGUGAGAGCCCCGUACGGUUGGACACCAAGCCUCUGUAAAGCUCCUUCGACGAGUCGAGUAGUUUGGGAAUGCUGCUCUAAAUGGGAGGUAAAUUUCUUCUAAAGCUAAAUAUUGGCCAGAGACCGAUAGCGCACAAGUAGAGUGAUCGAAAGAUGAAAAGCACUUUGAAAAGAGGGUUAAAUAGCACGUGAAAUUGUUGAAAGGGAAGCGUUUGCGACCAGACCUUUUCCCAGCGGAUCAUCCGGUGUUCUCACCGGUGCACUUCGCUGGGUUGAGGCCAGCAUCGGUUUCCGCAGGGGGAUAAAAGCCUGGGGAACGUAGCUCCCUCGGGAGUGUUAUAGCCCCUCGCAUAAUACCCUUGCGGGGACCGAGGACCGCGC